UUAAGACCCAUCACCUAAUCUUUGAAGAUGAUAUAACUGAUUUCAUCGCUCUCUUUUCUCCAACCCGAUUAUCUCAAACUUCAAUAUUCGUUGGCACAAAUAUCAUCCAAAUUAUCUUUAUUCGUCCACUGAAGUGAAGACUUCAUAUCCAUUUUCUUAAUUUUUCUGAGAGAAUGCGUGAUGGAGUAGCAACGGAAAUUGGCCUUGACUCUUGCAUUUAAAAAGUUUUUAAAGCGUUUAAAACCAUUUAUCUUCUUCCAAUGUAUUACAUUGAGCAAUGGAUAUACUCCUUGUCUGUAACAGGUGAAUCAUCAUCAACAGUAUGUCUUUGUCUGAUCUUCUAUGUGUUUUGUUAUCAUUUCCUCUUAUAAAGUCAAUUUUGCAAUGACCGUAAGAAAAGUGGAUUGUGUCGACUUGUGGCAACUGAACACGAUCGUUUAAAUAGACAUGAGGAACUAGAUGAAGAAUAGCGAGCAACGCCCCUCAGGCUCAGACACAAUAACAAAAUAUUGGUUGGAAACAAGGCUGACAUGGACGAAACAAAAAGGCGAAGGGCCAAGCUUUAGCUGAGGAGUAUGGAAUCAAAUUCUUUAAGACAUUGAGCUAAAUCAAAACAUAAUAUGUGUCAUGUUUUCCAUUAAUGUGUUCUUUAAAUUACUGAUGUGAUUAUAAUUAGCGCAGGGUGCAAACAGAUAUAAAGGAGGAGGUGUGAAUUGCAGGAGGUUGAUACUCGCUCUUCUAAUUAUCUCUUGUAGUUUUGUAGCCUCAGGUAUCACGAUCCGAAAUCAAGAUGAUGUCUCAUAGUCUUCUACAACCGAAAAGGCUGUAGUCGAUUAAUAAUUUUUAACAAAGACGGGGAUUCAUAGCUUUGAAAUGAUACGCUCAAAGAUGUUUACUUUGUCUCACUGGACUGUAUUUGUUGUGACUUUGGUCAAAUGGGACAGAGACGCAACUGUAUAUACCGAGGAUCUGUUUGGAUUAAUAUGUCAAAGGUUUCUUAUUCUCUUUCA